CCUACGGGUGGCAGCAGUGAGGAAUAUUGGUCAAUGGACGCAAGUCUGAACCAGCCAUGCCGCGUGCAGGAAGACGGCUCUAUGAGUUGUAAACUGCUUUUGUACGAGGGUAAACGCAGAUACGCGUAUCUGUCUGAAAGUAUCGUACGAAUAAGGAUCGGCUAACUCCUUGCCAGCAGCCGCGGUAAUACGGAGGAUUCAAGCGUUAUCCGGAUUUAUUGGGUUUAAAGGGUGCGUAGGCGGUUGGUUAAGGUAGAGGUGAAAGCCCGAGGCUCAACCGCGGAAUUGCCUCUGAUACUGGUCGGCUAGAGAGUAGUUGCGGUAGGCGGAAUGUAUGGUGUAGCGGUGAAAUGCUUAGAGAUCAUACAGAACACCGAUUGCGAAGGCAGCUUACCAAGCUACAUCUGACGUUGAGGCACGAAAGCGUGGGGAGCAAACAGGAUUAGAUACCCCUGUAGUC
rnacentral:rRNA from 1 species